rnacentral:rRNA from 1 species
GACGAACGCUGGCGGCAUGCCUAAUACAUGCGAGUCGAGCGAACAGAUGAAGUGCUUGCACUUCUGACGUUAGCGGCGAACGGGUGAGUAACACGUAAGGAAUCUACCUAUCAGCGGGGGAUAACAUUCGGAAACGGGUGCUAAUACCGCAGAAUACCUUCUUCCGCAUGGAAGAGGAUGGAAAGACGGCUCUGCUGUCACUUAUAUGUGACCUUGUGGUGCAGUAGUCAGUUGGUGGGGUAACGGCCUACCAGGACGAUGAUGCAUAGCCGACCUGAGAGGGUGAUCGGCCACAUUGGGACUGAGACACGGCCCAAACUCCUACGGGAGGCAGCAGUAGGGAAUCUUCCGCAAUGGGCGAAAGCCUGACGGAGCAAUGCCGCGUGAGUGAAGAAGGCCUUCGGGUCGUAAAACUCUGUUAUAAGAGAAGAACAAAUUGUAGAGUAACUGUUACUGUCUUGACGGUAUCUUAUCAGAAAGCCACGGCUAACUACGUGCCAGCCGCCGCCGUAA